CAUAGAGGGUGAGAAUCCCGUAUUUGGUUAUUCUUUCUAGCUUUGUGAUACACUUUCAAAGAGUCGGAUUGUUUGGGAAUGCAGUCCAAAAUGGGUGGUAAAUUUCAUCUAAAGCUAAAUAUUGGCGAGAGACCGAUAGCGAACAAGUACCGUGAGGGAAAGAUGAAAAGAACUUUGAAAAGAGAGUUAAACAGUACGUGAAAUUGUCAAAAGGGAAGCGUUUGACACCAGUGUUGUUUUUCCGAAAAUCAAUUAAGAAGGACUUGAUUUUGUGUUGUAUUGACCUUAUCAGCUUUCUUCACUCUUUUUCGAGUUUUUCUUAAUGCACUUUUCGGUUAACAAGUCAACAUCAAUUUCUUUUGUUGUAAAAGGGUAUUUGGAAGGUGGCUUUCUUUUCGGAGAAAGUGUUUAUAGCCUUAUACCUCUACAAUCGGAGAGAUUGAGGUCUGCAGCGUAGAUCCUUCGGGGCUAGAUACACUUGUGCUAAGUUAUAGCUUUUCAUAGACAACUUGUUGACUAUGUUUAGUCAUGUAGCUUACCCGCUUGUGCUAUUUUACCUACGCUUAGGAUGUUGA
rnacentral:rRNA from 1 species